UAAAAAAAUAUCAUCCCAGCAUCAAUGCCGUCACUUGAUUGAUAUACAGGGCAGCCAUUCAGAUGACAACUGAAUGUUGCCCUUCGGGCGACCAAUCAAAUCAAACAACGUCUCUAAGUGCAGCAGAACUUACGAUGUCAGCCUAUCAUCCAUCCCCGUUACUUGAUUGACAUACAGGACAACCAGUCAGAUGACAACUGAAUUUUGACCUUUAGGUCACCGCUCAUGCGUAAACAACGAUGCAAAGUGCUAAGCUAGUCGGCGAAUUGCGUUAGAUUUUAAGUCCUCGCUAAAGUUUAUGGUCACUAAAAUGAGUGAAGGAGCUGGACCAAGUAAAAAGGCAAAAACAUAUCACUUCCAUACGGAAUGGGAGGUGGACUUUUUUUUCACAAUGUCUUUUUCGAAGUGCGUUUGCCUCAUAUGCCAUUCUACCAGCGCAGUACCAAAGAAGGGAAAUGUGGAGUAAUGUGGAGUAAUCCGAAUAUCUCCGCACACUCCAUGGAAAUCUUAAUAUAGCCUUCCACCACAUCGUACAGCUCAGAUGAUGGCAACCUCUUGGCGUUGCUUAUGAAUCUUUCAAGUCCUAAAAGGCGAUUCAAGUUGGUGACCUCUGGUGGAAAGCAAAUGGCUGCAGAGGGUGCUGCUAGACCAGGAUGUAGGCACUCCCAGGGGGUAAAUAUCCAAAAUGGCACUAGGAAUCUUCUCUGGUGCAUCCUCACACAUGGUUUGCAAGUUUCUAUUCUAUUUUGGGCAACAGUAACAAGGUUCUGCUGUAUAUCAAACUGAUGUGUUUAGUGCUUCUAUCACAAUGUGAGUGGCCCGGCUCGGUCUGGCUGAAGAUGCGAGGUGGCUUCCUGAGAGCCAUGUGUCGGCCACAGCGCACCACAGGCUCCUCUGUGAGGUCGCCCCGCUUCCAUCGAGCCUAGCUGAGCCUCCCGGGCCCUCGGCACGCACGCGGCGCGGCCCGACGCCGGGCGAGCGAUCAAACGUCACCCCCACGCCUUCCCAACAGCCAGACGCCGGGGCCUAUCAGCAACAUCUGGGAGUGGUUGGCUGCAGCUGCGGCGGUGCGGCCACACCCCUUCCACAGUCGGGACUGCGGCCAGAUGUGAAGCACAUCUCACGUAAAGUGCAGAUGUUUCUGCGCCUUCAGAGGAGGCCCUCGCCGCAAGGAGGCGUUCUGACGGCCGAUCAAGUUUCUGAGUUGCGCCCAGAAUGGGGUUUUCGGGGGGGGGGACUCGAAUGCGUCGCUGGCUUGCGGCUUGUCACUAUUCAGAGAGAUGAUUGGAAACACUUCCAGGAAACGUGCAGAAAUGUCCUUUUUCUCCACAAGGCACGACUCUCAACCACUGUGACCCAACUCCAACUUGGAAUAGUGUUUACACAAUUCCUCCAGCAGCAACACAAGUGCAACACAACACAACUGUUGGUUGACUUCCAAUUUCCAAAUGAAUUUAAAACUUUUAUCAGGUGUUUUUUAAUAACAUGCAGCUGUAGUUGACCGUCUCUGUGUGCGCUGUAAAAAGUCACUAUUGGUGUGAAAUGUUUACUAUGCAGCUAGACUAGCCCACAAACUUGCUGAAGCCCUUUCCAAUGUUAUUUAGUCGUGUAAUAAACUGUUUAUUUUGUGUAAGUCAUGGAGCAAAAGCGUGUCUGUGUAGCAUUAUAGAGUGUGCAUACAGGGAGCAGGGUUGCUAAUAAGUCUUUUCCCACCACUAUUAGUGGCUCUACCCGAGUUUUUUAAAACACUGGUAUUCCUCCAAAACACAUUACACGUUACCCAUGCUGUACAUAACCUAACACUAAAAUGCUAAAGCUACUUACCAUUGAGAGAUGCCUUGAAGUAACCUCUUUCCUUGAGAAACUUUGGACUGUCCUGUCUCUACUUCUGGAUUGGAUUCGUGAUCCAACACAUAUGGUUGGUAGCACAAACCGGAAGUCUUUAUACGUACGUAUGCACUCCGCUGUGGGCGAAACAGUUUAUUAUCAGCAACAGUUAGCGGUUAGCGGCACAAACCGGACGUGUUUCUAUGCGCUCAGCAGUGUGACCAACCACAGAUGAGUGGGCGGGCCUGGAGGCGGGCCAUGGGUGGAAUACAUUAAAACAGACCAUUUACGCGGGAACCAUAAAAUCCAAAGAAAUACAGCCGAAUAGGUGCAGAUUCUGGAAGCACUAGAAAGUUUUCUGUGCUAGUUAUCAUGUGUAGCUGCUCUAUAGGAGUCCACAACUCAAUACAAAGGGACGAAAGAUUAACAUAAAAGGUCAAUCCAAAGUGCUGACCCCAAAAGUGUAGCGGUCCUCCCAGAAUUCAUUUGGUAGCAUCACGUGAAGGCUUUGGUGUGUUUCUUCCAGAAUCCUCAGCAAUGCCACUCCACAGUGUGGCUCUGGAAUGGCGUACCCAAAACUCCCAUUCAUUGUUUUGACUUUCUGUGCUGUGAGUUUGGAGGGAUAAUAACCUUGGGUCCUAAAAAAGUGAAGAAUUAAAAAGAAGUAGAAAAGUUAGGAAAACUUAUGUAUGAUUUCUACCGUCGGUCAAAAGUCUGUUCUCCUCCUUCUCCGCCAUCAAGCUCACUUUCAAAGGUCAAAGGUUAUUUUUCAUGAAUAUUAUUUUUUUCAUGUAUUAUUUUGUCAUUGUUUUUAACAUUUGUGUAUAUGUAAAUGAUUAUGUUGUCAUGAAAGAACAUAUUUUUUUCCAGUGGUAACAGUAUUUCCGGGGUUCAGGGUUCAAUCCCACCCUCGGGCAUCUCUGUGUGGAGUUUGCAUGUUCUCCCCGUGCAUGCGUGGGUUUUCUCCGGGUACUCCGGUUUCCUCCCACAUUCCAAAAACAUGCUAGGUUAAUCGGCGACUCCAAAUUGUCCAUAGGUAUGAAUGUGAGUGUGAAUGGUUGUUUGUCUAUAUGUGCCCUGUGAUUGGCUGGCGACCAGUCCAGGGUGUACCCUGCCUCUCGCCCGAAGACAGCUGGGAUAGGCUCCAGCACC